GGGAGCUUGGCUCAGUUGGAAGAGCGCAGGUCUCAUAUGAAUGUUCUUCCUUCUCUAGAAAGAAAAGAAAAAAAAUAUAUGAUCUGGUUUAACAUCAGAAGUAAUCCUGAGGUCGUGAGUUCGAGCCUCACAGUUCCCA